CCUACGGGUGGCAGCAGUGGGGAAUAUUGGGCAAUGGGCGCAAGCCUGACCCAGCAACGCCGCGUGCAGGAAGAAGGCUUUCGGGUUGUAAACUUCUUUUAAGAGGGAAGAGCAGAAGACGGUACCUCUUGAAUAAGCCACGGCUAACUACGUGCCAGCAGCCGCGGUAAUACGUAGGUGGCAAGCGUUGUCCGGAUUUACUGGGUGUAAAGGGCGUGCAGCCGGGAAGACAAGUCAGAUGUGAAAUCCCGCGGCUCAACGGCGGAACUGCAUUUGAUACUGUUUUUCUAGAGUAUCGGAGAGGUAGUCGGAAUGCAUGGUGUAGCGGUGAAAUGCGUAGAGAUAAGGAAGAACACCGAUGGCGAAGGCAGAUGACUGGGCGGCUACUGACGGUGAGGCACGAAAGCGUGGGGAGCAAACAGGAUUAGAUACCCGGGUAGUC
rnacentral:rRNA from 1 species